AAAAUAAUUGUGUGACCCAAAAUUCCCACUUUCCAUUUUUUCUCUGUAUAUAUAUCAGAGGUAGAGUAGCAUAGCCCAUAUGUUUGUUUACUUUACAGCCGCCAACUAUUCACAACAAUGGUCUCACAACGUGAAUCAGAAUACAGCCUAUAUCACAACGGAGCAUAAAUCAGGACAAACUUAAUUAUUAUUUGAGAUAGACUCCAAAGACCUAUGAUGAAAAUAGUGUCACUACACUGGAAUGGUGGAAGAAUAAUCAAAAACAAUAUCUAGUAUUAUCAACCAUGGCUAGAAAUGUGUUAAAUGUUCUCAUGUCAAUCAUUGCAUCGGAGAACGCAUUUAGUCAUUGAAGGCAGCAGAUCGGAGACAAUAGACACUCUUUGGGAGCAAUGUCAUGAAUAUUUUAGUUUGCCUCAAAGAUUAGAUUAGAUCAGAGCGUAGGAAUAAAG